rnacentral:ncRNA from 10 species
AUCGUUCAUCUCUUAGGAGACGGAAGUAGGUUAAAACCGAAGGAACGCGCC